rnacentral:rRNA from 1 species
UACGUAGGGGGCUAGCGUUGUCCGGAAUCAUUGGGCGUAAAGAGCGCGUAGGCGGCCAGAUAAGUCCGGUGUGAAAGUCACAGGCUCAACCUGUGAAUGCCGCUGGAAACUGUCUGGCUAGAGUCCGGAAGGGGCGAGUGGAAUUCCUGGUGUAGCGGUGAAAUGCGCAGAUAUCAGGAGGAACACCGGUGGCGAAGGCGGGUCUCUGGGCCGGAACUGACGCUGAGGAGCGAAAGCGUGGGGAGCGAACAGG